UACGUAGGUGGCAAGCGUUGUCCGGAUUUAUUGGGUUUAAAGGGUGCGUAGGCGGCUUAAUAAGUCAGUGGUAAAAGGUAGCAGCUUAACUGUUUUACACGCCAUUGAUACUGUUGAGCUUGAAUACACUGGAGGCAGAUAGAAUUCCUGAUGUAGCGGUGAAAUGCAUAGAUAUCAGGAGGAAUACCGAUUGCGAAGGCAGUCUGCUGUGGUGUUAUUGACGCUGAGGCACGAAAGUGCGGGGAUCAAACAGG
rnacentral:rRNA from 1 species